rnacentral:rRNA from 1 species
UUGACCUCGGAUCAGGUAGGGAUACCCGCUGAACUUAAGCAUAUCAAUAAGCGGAGGAAAAGAAACCAACAGGGAUUACCUCAGUAACGGCGAGUGAAGCGGUAAGAGCUCAAAUUUGAAAGCUGGCUCCUUCGGGGUCCGCAUUGUAAUUUGCAGAGGAUGUUUCGGGAGCAGCCCCCAUCUAAGUGUCCUGGAACGGACCGUCAUAGAGGGUGAGAAUCCCGUAUGGGAUGGGGUGUCUGCGCCCAUGUGAAACUCCUUCGACGAGUCGAGUUGUUUGGGAAUGCAGCUCUAAAUGGGUGGUAAAUUUCAUCUAAAGCUAAAUAUUGGCCGGAGACCGAUAGCGCACAAGUAGAGUGAUCGAAAGAUGAAAAGCACUUUGAAAAGAGAGUUAAAAAGCACGUGAAAUUGUUGAAAGGGAAGCGCUUGCGAUCAGACUCGCCUUGGGGGUUCAGCCGGCAUUCGUGCCGGUGUACUUCCCCCAGGGCGGGCCAGCGUCGGUUUGGGUGGCCGGUCAAAGGCCCUUGGAAUGUAACGCCUCUCGGGGCGUCUUAUAGCCAAGGGUGCCAUGCGGCCUACCUGGACCGAGGAACGCGCUUCGGCUCGGACGCUGGCAUAAUGGUCGUAAGCGACC